GUUCAUUAGCAUAUGGAUAUCGGCUCUGUGAUGACGUCAUCGUGAUGGAUAAUUAAUGGGUUAUCAAUGCAUUAAUGACUGCAACAUCGCCCACAGAGCCCAUUGACCCCAUUGACCCCCAUUGAUCCCCAUUGACCCCCAUUGAUCCCCAUUGAUCCCCAUUGACCCCCAUUGAUCCCCAUUGAUCCCCAUUGAUCCCCAUUGACCCCCAUUGAUCCCCAUUGACCCCCAUUGACUUCCAUUGAUCCCCAUUGACCCCCAUUGAUCCCCAUUGAUCCCCAUUGACCCCCAUUGAUCCCCAUUGACCCCCAUUGAUCCCCAUUGAUCCCCAUUGACCCCCAUUGAUCCCCAUUGACUCCCAUUAUGUCCCAGCGGUACCGGUGCCGGUACGAGCGGCUGCGCCGCGCCGCGCGCGCUCUGGUGCUGGAGUCUGGAGCUCUGUGAGACACUGCCCAUUGACCCCUAUUGAUCCCCAUUGAUCCCCAUUGAUCCCCAUUGAUCCCCAUUGAUCCCCAUUGAUCCCCAUUGAUCCCCAUUGAUCCCCAUUGAUCCCCAUUGACUCUCAUUGAUCCCCAUUGACCCCCAUUGACCCCCAUUGAUCCCCAUUGAUCCCCAUUGAUCCCCAUUGACCCCCAUUGAUCCCCAUUGAUCCCCAUUGAUCCCCAUUGAUCCCCAUUGAUCCCCAUUGAUCCCCAUUGACUCUCAUUGAUCCCCAUUGACCCCCAUUGAUCCCCAUUGAUCCCCAUUGAUCCCCAUUGACUCUCAUUGAUCCCCAUUGACCCCCAUUGAUCCCCAUUGAUCCCCAUUGAUCCCCAUUGACUCUCAUUGAUCCCCAUUGACCCCCAUUGACUCUCAUUGACCCCCAUUGAUCCCCAUUGAUCCCCAUUGAUCCCCAUUGACUCCCAUUGACUCCCAUGAUGUCCCACCGGUACCGGUGCCGGUACGAGCGGCUGCGCCGCGCCGCCCGCGCUCUGGUGCUGGAGUCUGGAGCUCUAUGUGAUGAACUCGCCAGGAUCGAGGCCAAGGUUCUCCGAGCGCGGCAGGAACGGAGGCUGCUGCUGACCCGGCUGCUGCGGCGCAGGAUGGGGGAUGGGAGCGGGACAGCAGCGGCUGUGGGGUCUAUGGGGUCAUCUAUGGGGUCUAUGGGAUCAUCUAUGGGGUCUAUGGGAUCAUCAAUGGGGUCUAUGGGGUCUAUGGGAUCAUCAAUGGGGUCUAUGGGGUCAUCUAUGGGGUCUAUGGGGUCAUCAAUGGGGUCUAUGGGAUCAUCAAUGGGGUCUAUGGGACCAAUGGGAUCAUCAAUGGGGUCUAUGGGAUCAAUGGGAUCUAUGGGAGCAACAACGGCAUCAAUGGGAUCAUCAAUGGGGUCUAUGGGAUCAAUGGGAUCUAUGGGAGCAACAACGGCAUCAAUGGGAUCAUCAAUGGGGUCUAUGGGAUCAAUGGGAUCUAUGGGAUCCACAACGGCAUCAAUGGGACCUAUGGGAUCAACAACGGCAUCAAUGGCAUCAACGGGAUCCACAACAGUGUCAAUAGGAUCAACAGCGGCAUCAAUGGCAUCAAUAGGAUCAUCAAUGGCAUCAAUGGGAUCAUCAAUGGCAUCAAUAGGAUCAUCAUUGGCAUCAAUGAGAUCCACAACGGCAUCAAUGGCGUCAUCAAUAGGAUCAAGGGCAUCAAUAGGAUCAAUGGGAUCAAGGGCACCGCAAUCAACGCCAAUGGUAACGGCAUCAAUGACACUGCAACCAAUGGCGUCAACGGCAUCAAUGACGUCAUCAAUGACGUCAUCAAUGACAUCGUCGAUGACAUCAUCAAUGACAUCAUCAAUGACAUCAACAGCAUCAAUGGCACCUACAACACCAUCAAUGGCACCAACAGCAUCAACGGCAUCAAUGACAUCAUCGAUGACGUCAUCAAUGACGUCAUCAACGGCACCUCAACGGCAGGGGGAUGGGAAUGGGGAGGAAGGGAGCAGGGGGGCAGGGGAUGGGGCUAUGGGGUCAAUGGGGGGGUCCAUAGGGGCAAGGGAUGGGGGUAUGGGGUCUAGGGGUGAAUCUAUGGGGUCUAGGGGUGAAUCUAUGGGGCCUAGGGGUGAAUCUAUGGGGCCUAGGGGUGAAUCUAUGGGGUCUAGGGAUGGAUCUAUGGGGCCUAGGGGUGAAUCUAUGGGGCCUAGGGGUGAAUCUAUGGGGUCUAGGGGUGAAUCUAUGGGGCCCAGGGAUGGGUCUAUGGGGUCAAGAGCAGGGUCCAUGCCCCCCUUUAGGGAUGGGGCAUCACCAGCCUCCCCCAUAGACAACACUGGCAAUGGGGCCAGACCUAUGGGGCCAAGCUCCGCCCCAAGCUCCGCCCCCCCGAGGGCCUCAGCCAAUAGGAGAGCCCCAUGGAGCAUCCAGGACUUGGGGGGCAGGCGGCGGGGGGGCGGGGCCGGAGGGGGGCGGAGCCUCCCGGGGCAGCCAAUGGGAGCAGGGGAGGUGUUCGGGCUCGGGCACCCAUUGGUCCAGCAGCUGCUGCGGGAGGAGGAGGAGGAGGAGGAGGAGGAAGAUGGAGCUGAUGCCUUCACCUAUGGGGAGCUGUUCUUGGGCAGCCCCACAGGCUCUGAGUGACCCAAAAUGGCAUUAAAUGGACCCAAAAUGAUGGUGAUGUGGUGGUGGGGUCCAUAGGGAUGCAUUGACUCCAUAGGGAUGCAUUGAGUCCAUAGGGAUGCAUUGACUCCAUAGGGAUGCAUUGAGUCCAUAGGGAUGCAUUGACUCCAUAGGGAUCCAUUGGUGGUGGGGUCCAUAGGGAUGCAUUGAGUCCAUUGGGAUGCAUUGAGUCCAUAGGGAUGCAUUGAUUCCAUAGGGAUCCAUUGACUCCAUAGGGACCCAUUGACUCCAUAGGGACCCAUUGACUCCAUAGGGACCCAUAGACUCCAUAGGGAUCCAUUGAUGGUGUCCAUAGGGAUGCGUUGGUGGUGUCCAUAGGGAUGCAUUGACUCCAUAGGGCCCCAUUGACUCCAUAGGGAUGCAUUGACCCCAUAGGGAUCCAUUGAUGGUGUCCAUAGGGAUGCGUUGGUGGUGUCCAUUGGGAUCCAUUGAGUCCAUAGGGACCCAUUGACUCCAUAGGGACUCAUUGACCCCAUAGGGACCCAUUGACUCCAUAGGGAUCCAUUGACUCCAUAGGGACCCAUUGACUGCAUAGGAACCCAUUGACCCCAUAGGGACCCAUUGACUCCAUAGGGAUCCAUUGACUCCAUAGGGACCCAUUGACUGCAUAGGAACCCAUUGACCCCAUAGGGAUCCAUUGACUCCAUAGGGACCCAUUGACUCCAUAGGGACCCAUUGACUCCAUAGGGACCCAUUGACCCCAUAGGAACCCAUUGACUCCAUAGGGACCCAUUGACUCCAUAGGGACCCAUUGGUGGUGUCCAUAGGGAUCCCCAUUGACUCCCAUUGAUCCCCAUUGCCCCCAUUGACUCCAUAGGGAUCCAUUGAUGCUCUUUAUUGGCCAAUGAGCAUCCCUCCCUCCCCAUCCGAGCCCUCUCAUUGGCUGCCAUCGGAGCGCUCCCAUUGGCUGCCGCGGCCGGAGCCCUCUCAUUGGCUGCCAUUGGAGCGCUCCCAUUGGCUGCCGCGGCCGGAGCCCUCUCAUUGGCUGCUGCCGCCAUCCGAGCGCUCCCAUUGGAUGUUGUGGUGGAUCCGGGUGACAUCCGGAUGGUUCCGGAGCUCCUGGACCAGUAACCGGCUCCAGUUCCCAUCCGGAUGCACCAGUUGGAUACUGGGAACAGGCUCCGGAUGGGCCGAGAGCAGCUGGAGGCCUGAGGCCUGGAGAUGGGCACGGACAUGGGGCAGGGACUGGGGGGGGCACAGGAACUGCAAUGGGAUCAAUGGGGUUAAUGGGAUCAAUGGGAGUCAAUGGGAUCAAUGGGAUCAAUGGGGAUCAAUGGGGAUGAAUGGGGAUCAAUGGGAUCAAUGGGGAUCAAUGGGGUUAAUGGGAUCAAUGGGGGUCAAUGGGGAUCAAUGGGAUCAAUGGGGAUCAAUGGGGUUAAUGGGAUCAAUGGGGUCAAUGGGGGUUAAUGGGGAUCAAUGGGAUCAAUGGGGAUCAAUGGGAUCAAUGGGGAUCAAUGGGAUCAAUGGGGAUCAAUGGGGGUCAAUGGGAUCAAUGGGGAUCAAUGGGGGUUAAUGGGGAUCAAUGGGAUCAAUGGGGAUCAAUGGGAUCAAUGGGGAUCAAUGGGAUCAAUGGGGAUCAAUGGGGAUCAAUGGGGUUAAUGGGAUCAAUGGGGUCAAUGGGGAUCAAUGUGUGGUUGGGGAUGGUCAAGGGAUCUCCAAGCAUGGUUGGUGCCACCAUCAGGACCCCCCAUAUCCCCCCAUACCCCCCAUUACCCCCAUAGACCCCAUAGACCCCAUUAGCCCCAUAACCUCCAUAGCCCCAUAUCCCCCCAUAUCCCCCCAUAACCCCAUAGACCCUAUAGCCCCCAUACCCCUCAAAACCCCCAUUACCCCCAUAACCCCAUAUCCCCCCAUAUCCCCUAUGGCCCCAUAGCUCCCCAUAGCCCCCCAUUAACCCCAUAACCCCCAUAGACCCCAUAGCCCCAUUACCCCCAUACACCCCAUUGCCCCCAUUACCCCCAUAGCCCGAUAGCCCCCAUAUCCCCCUUUAACCCCAUAACCCCCAUAUCCCCUAUAGCCC
ensembl:lncRNA